rnacentral:lncRNA from 1 species
ACGGAUGGCCCAGGGCUCCAAAGGCUCGUUUCCUAAGUGAGAGAGAGCCUGGCUGAAGCUGUAUUACCAUUCAUUCUCCAGCCUCCGAAGUCUCAAAGCAUCACUUCCACCAUACUCUAACUGUCAAGACAAACACAAAGGCCCAGAAACUGCCAGACUGUCUUCUGAAGUGGCUAUAAUAUUUACACUCCCAUCAGCAGUGUAGAAGGGGUCUCACUAUGUUGUCUGGAGUGCUGUGGUGGAGUGGAGUGGCUAUUCACAGAGCCUGUUCUGCUGGGACACAGAAUCACUUGCUCCAUCUCAUACAUUGAUGAUGAUUAAUUUGUAUGUGUACCUUCCAAAAAAGAUGGUUGUGUUUGAAUGGAGGCCUUCUGGACAGGAAAAUUGCAAAGUACAAUUAACAUUUGAGUCUGUCUGAGUCAUGAAGAAAUGGAGAUUACUGAAAAUAAUUCAUUUUGGUAUCUUCUUACAUCCUGAGAGACUAAUCUUUCCAAGUUCAUCUGAGGCUCCUCUUCUCCAUGACAACCUCAUCCAGGGAUUUCUUCCUGUCCUGGUGUUUUAUGACAUCAUCCUCAUCUCGCUUGUAAGGAUAAUAGCCUUCCUCCAAACCUCACACACUUUUGGAGGAGAUCACUUUUUUUAAAGUGCAUGGAAAUGUUUUGAAACAGUGAAAUCUAUAAUGAUAGGUUUCAUAAUUCUAACAUCCACACCAUAUGAAUCACAUCCUUCCUGAGAUAAUGAGCACACAAUUGCCUGGAUACCUGAAGGAAUGGAGACAGCGGCAGAAAACACUGCAGAGAGGUGGAAACAUCCGUUAAUAUUUUAAAAUCCCAUUACUGCUACCAACAAUAAUAAUGGAUGCAUAGAAAUAGAUCUGGAUUAGCUGAGCUUGAAACAGUCCAUCUCACACACACACAAAAGAAUUUCAGAUACAGUGAACCCACAUGUUGAAGCUUUCUAGUAUAAUAAAAAUUUCAACUGUUCUGUUGAAUCAUCUGCCUGAUUGGAGGCUACAGAAAAGAUGUCAUCUUAGGAGUGCUUGCUCUGAGUGAGGCUCAUCUUCAAAUCUGAAUGACCACAAGGAGAUUUGAUUAUACAUGUGAACACCUCAGAAGGCACAGCCCACCCAGAAGGCAGACAGAAGAAGCUGCCAGGAAGACUGUGAAAUCUUCAUGCCCAAGGAUCCCUAAAAUUAGGAGCAACAACCACUUGGCUCAGACGGUUUAUGGAGGCAAAGGUUUGGAUGGGAUUAGAGAUUUCUAAAUGAGGAGACAGACACUAGAGCUCACCGGCUCGCCCUCUCACUCCUACUCAUCUGAGAAGGCAGCCAGCUAACCCUUCAGCCAGGAAGAGGGUCCUCAUCAGAACCUGGCCGUGGUGGCAUCCAGAUCUUGAACCUCCGGACUCCAGACUGUGAGAAAAUAAGUGUGUUGUUUAAACUA